rnacentral:tRNA from 1 species
GCAUCGUUGUUUCAGUGUUAGAAUGCUCGCCUGCCACGCGGCCGGCCCGGGUUCGAUUCCCGGCCGAUGCA